rnacentral:rRNA from 1 species
AACCCCUUGUGGGAGGGAGCUGUCGAAGGUGGGACUGGCGAUUGGGACGAAGUCGUAACAAGGUAGCCGUACCGGAAGGUGCGGCUGGAUCACCUCCUUUCUAAGGAGCA